rnacentral:sRNA from 1 species
CUUGCAAUUAAAUCCAACUUAUUCGAUCAUAUAUUUCUUUGCAGUGAACCAUUUGUAUUGGUCGAAAAGGUUUGGUCACAAGAGUAUAUGGGAAGAACUGAUCGAGUUUAGUAAACAAAAAAUGGCUGACCAAAAACUCUCCAGAAAAGCUAAUUGCUCCAUCUCUCCCUGUACAAUAUGAUGAUGUGCUCCAUCAUUUCUCAGCCUCUCUGCCACUCUGUUUGUCUUUAGACUUUACGCAGCACUCACAGGUGAGAUGUCUUUGCCGAAAAGCCCAGCGAUUGCUUUGCCAGGAUCCUCCUGCUUGAUGAGAGACUCCCCAACGAGAACCUACAGCAUCCUAUGGUAAGAAUUCUCUUGUAUUUCAACAGAACUUAAGUUAAAGAAGCACUUACAAUUAUGCCUUUCUGAGCUAUAGUUUGUCCUCUUUCACCCUCAAGAAGAUUUUUAGUGUUUGAAAUAUCAACUUGAAAAAAUAACAUACCGAGGUUACGGUUAUUGAUGCCGAUGAGCUGGACACCAUCUAUCCCUAACACACGGUCCAUUUCCCUUUCAUCAUGAACCUCAACUAAAGCAGCCAUGCCAAGUAUUUUGCAUAUUUUCAACAUAUACUUGAUAUCAAGAUCAGGUAAGACAGCAGCAAUCAGAAGAACAGCAUCUGCUCCCUUCAAACGCGCAUAGUAAAGUUGCCAGGCAUCAACAAUGAACUCUUUGCACAGCAGAGGACACUGCAUUUAGAAAUUCAAGAGAAUGAGCCUUUCCAUACAUUCGAACCACACAACUGAAUUUCCUUGACUGCUGUAAAACACUUAAGCAUGCUGCUCCAUUUUUCUCAUAUGUUUGGGCGAUCUGAACCUGUUUUCCUCCCUCAGGACACCGCGGCUCGGUGAAGCCUUCUUGACCUCUGCAAUCAGAGCAGGCAGACCAGUCCGAUCAAAAGACGCCUUCAACACCCCAACGAAAUCCCUCACCGGAGGAGCAUUCUCCAGCGGCCCCUUCAGCAUGUACAGUGGCCUUCUCUCCUUCAUCUGC